AGGACACAGCGAAUAACUGCUGUGUGGGAAAAGUUUGUGUCUCCAGAUGGCAAGCUUAACAAGCUGGCUUUCUACUUAUUUGGGCCAUAAACAACUAAUACAGGUGUCCUGACUCUGAAGUUCCAGCUCAGUAAGGAGCGAGGGAGCACUGACAGGCACGUCCCGAGCAUGUCUGCUCCUCCCUGCCCCGCCCCCCCAAUCCUAUGCGAGUGACAUUCGGAUUCAGCCCAAGAAGCAAUAUCUCACAGCAGUCUGCAUCUCAGCCUCACCCCUGGGAGCAAGAAGGAGGGCUGUGCGAGAUGCCUUGGCUCCCUUUCCAGCCUAGAAACAAGGGCACUUUUUCCAGUUUAAUAA